rnacentral:rRNA from 1 species
UGAGCGGGAAGAGCUCAACAUUGUAAUCUGGCUGCUUCGCAGUCCGAGUUGUAGUCUAUAGAAGCAUGAUCCGCGCCGGCCCUUGGGCAUGUCUGUUGGAACGCAGUGUCAAAGAGGGUGAAAAUCCCGUACAUACCAAGGACGACCGUGUGCAUUGUGGUCUGCUCUCUAAGAGUCGAGUUGUUUGGGAAUGCAGCUCUAAUUGGGUGGUAAAUUCCAUCUAAAGCUAAAUAUCGACGAGAGACCGAUAGCGAACAAGUACAGUAAUGGAAAGAUGAAAAGUAGCCUGCAGAGGCAAUGAAACAAUACGUGAAACCGUUUGUAGGGAAGCGAUGGAACCUUUUCACGCUGCGAGGGUUCAGCUUGGCUUCGGCUUAGUGUAUUCCCUCGUUUUGCGGACCAGCAUCAGUUUGCUUCGCAGUAUAAGGGUGAUUGGAACGUGGCUUCUCCGGAAGUGUUAUAGCCUUUCACUGGAUGCUGUGUCGCAGACUGAGGACUGCAGUGCGCCGUAAGGCAUGGUCUUCGGGCCACGAGCACUUAGGAUGCUGGGCGAAUGGGUUUCAACGACCCGUCUUGAACCACGGACCA